AUUAACCCCGGCGGAAAAGGCUCGCUCUACUUCCGGUGCCUCUUCCGCCCUGCAGCUCUGGGGCGUGUCUGUCCGCGGCACCUCCCGCGCUCUAUGGUGCUGGCUGCUCCCAGCCUCCUCAGCGGCGGCGGCCGGGGCCGGGAGGAGCGCGGCGGAGGCGGCGGACGCGGGCCGGGGCCUGCCCCGGGCCUGCCGAGCGCCCGCCAUGGAGCCCGAUGUGUCCGAGGAGGAGGAGGGCUCGUCCGUGGAGGGCGCCGGAGCCCCCCCGGAGGCCGGCGCGGGGGGCCUGGACGCGGCAGGAGGUCUGGCACCAAAGAGGGCAGCCGUCACCGAGGGACCAUCACUCCCAGGACAGCCUGGCCAGGGGAAGAAGAUUGGUCAUCGAAGCGUUGAUGCUUCUGGUGAAACCACCUACAAAAAGACCACCUCAUCCACUCUGAAGGGGGCCAUCCAGCUGGGGAUUGGGUACACUGUUGGCAAUCUGAGCUCCAAGCCAGAGAGAGAUGUCCUAAUGCAGGACUUCUACGUGGUGGAAAGCAUUUUUUUCCCAAGUGAAGGAAGUAAUCUCACUCCAGCUCACCAUUAUGCUGACUUCAGGUUCAAGACCUAUGCACCAGUGGCUUUUCGGUACUUCCGAGAACUCUUUGGGAUUCGUCCAGAUGAUUAUUUGUAUUCCCUAUGUAAUGAACCUCUGAUAGAGCUGUCGAACCCUGGUGCCAGCGGUUCUCUCUUCUAUGUCACCAGCGACGAUGAAUUCAUCAUAAAAACUGUGAUGCACAAAGAAGCUGAAUUCUUACAGAAGCUCCUUCCUGGCUACUACAUGAACCUGAACCAGAACCCCCGGACACUGCUACCAAAGUUUUAUGGACUCUACUGUGUGCAGUCAGGGGGCAAAAACAUCCGUGUGGUUGUGAUGAACAACAUCCUGCCUCGUGUGGUCAAAAUGCACCUGAAGUUUGACCUGAAAGGCUCCACCUAUAAACGCCGGGCAUCCAAGAAGGAAAAAGAAAAGUCCAGCCCUACGUACAAGGAUCUAGACUUCAUGCAAGACAUACCCGAGGGCCUGAUGUUGGAUGCAGACACCUUCACUGCACUGGUGAAAACACUGCAACGGGACUGUCUGGUGUUGGAAAGCUUUAAAAUCAUGGACUACAGCCUCCUGCUUGGGGUUCAUAACAUAGACCAGCAAGAACGGGAGCAGCAGUCCGAGGGAGCCCACAGCACGUCGGAUGAGAAGCGUCCCGUGGGGCAGAAGGCACUUUACUCCACGGCCAUGGAGUCCAUCCAGGGUGGGGCUGUCCGGGGGGAGUCCAUAGACACGGAUGACGCGAUGGGAGGAAUCCCAGCGGUGAAUGGCAAAGGAGAGCGUCUACUGCUCCAUGUAGGAAUAAUAGAUAUCCUUCAAUCAUACAGGUUCAUCAAGAGGCUAGAACAUACCUGGAAGGCCCUUGUCCAUGAUGGGGACACGGUGUCUGUACACAGACCCAGCUUCUAUGCAGAGAGGUUUUUCAAAUUCAUGACCAACACAGUGUUCCGAAAGAAUUCCUCUCUGAAGUCAUCUCCCUCAAAGAAAGGGCGCAGUGCCUUGCUGGCUGUCAAGACUGCUGGUCCAAUGGCUGCAUUUUCAGCUAGCCAGCUUCCCUCUGAAAAGGAUGAGACACAGUAUGACCUUCGUGCAGCCCGGAGCUACCCCACACUUGACGAUGAAGCAGGCAGGCCAGACCUGCUACCUUGCACACCUCCUUCCUUUGAGGAAGCUACCACAGCUUCCAUAGCCACAACACUGUCUUCAACAUCUCUCUCUGUUCCCGAGCGAUCCCCUUCGGAGACCUCUGAGCAGCCCAGGUACAGGAGGCGUACACACUCCUCAGGGCAGGAUGGCAGGUCACACGAGGAGGUGCGGGUUGAGGAGGAGCUUCAGCAGAUCAGUGUCGAGCUGGAGCCCAAGUGUGAUGUUGAGAUCAUAGCUCCUGAAGAUGACAAAGAGUGAGUGUUCUAUGGUUUUGGGCAGCUUUGCAGACCCCUGCCUGAUGUCAUUUGGUCCUGGAUGUGACAGUGGAACAUCUCCAGCACCUCUGUAGUAAAUCAUAGCCUUGCUUGCUCAAUUUUGAUAGACUCUGUCAUCUUUUCCCCCCUCCAGAGAGGCAGCUUCUUCAGCCUGUGCCAUUGUAACAUCCACAGCUACUAUAGAGGUAGAGACAGCCAGCCAGGCCUCGGAACCAGCCAGCCAGGCCUCGGAACCAGCCAGCCAGGCCUCGGAUGAAGAUGAUGUGCCAGUCACAGACAUAUACUUUUAAUCUCUAUGCAGACACAGAAGCCCCAGAGAGCAGCGAUUCCCUCUGCAGGUCGAUGUGAUCCCCUUUUGUUGAUGCAGCCAUUCCAGUGGGAUGGGGAAGAGCUUGCUGACACCAACCAGUAUUGCUGCACUGCAGGAUCCCGGGCACUGCAUUUCAGAACGGAGCAAAACUAUAACCAUGUCUUUCUACUUAUCCCAGACGUGGGCAGCAAAGGAAACCACCCGCAGCUCCUGAGGGAGGCAGCAGCGGGGUGUAGAGAAUCCUGAGUAGUAAUACAGUGUUUUCCAGACGUGCACUACCGUAGCUACCUAUCCAUGUGUGAUACUGUGAACCUUUUUAAGUUUUUAACCAUGUAUUUAUUUCUUUUACCUUUGCACAGAGACAGCACAAAUGUGCUUUUUUAAACAUUUAGUUUACUGCACUCUUUCCCCCCCCCCCCCUUUUUUUUUUUGUUUCUUUUCUUUUCCUAUCAUAUAUUUGUGCAUCAGGAGUGUGAGACCUCACUGGAGAACUGGUAGGAGCACGUUGCUGGGGAGGGCAGGGACCGGAGUGGCUUCACUGGAGGCAGCAACAUGGUCUGACCAGCUGAUGGAGUCGGGAGGUUUAAGGCUGUCCAGACUCUGCCACGGUUUUGCCGAGUGAUCUAAGGCAAGUCACUUGACCACUCUGUGCCUCGGUUUCCCCCAUGAUAAGGGGUGCACAGUACCCGCUUCCGUUAAAGCACUUAAACCCUGGGAUGAAAGGUGCUAUGAAAAUGCAAUGUAUUAAAGGCCAUGGAAUAGAAUCACUCCCAUGUUACAGUAGUCCAAAGUAGCCAUGCCAAUUUUCUUGGAUUAAAGCAUCGCUGGUGA